rnacentral:rRNA from 1 species
CAGCCGCCGCGGUAAUACGUAGGUGGCAAGCGUUGUUCGGAAUUAUUGGGCGUAAAGGGCUCGCAGGCGGUCUCUUAAGUCUGAUGUGAAAGCCCCCGGCUCAACCGGGGAGGGCCAUUGGAAACUGGGAAACUUGAGUGCAGAAGAGGAGAGUGGAAUUCCACGUGUAGCGGUGAAAUGCGUAGAGAUGUGGAGGAACACCAGUGGCGAAGGCGACUCUCUGGUCUGUAACUGACGCUGAGGAGCGAAAGCGUGGGGAGCGAACAGGAUUAGAUACCCCGGUAGUCCCUGUCUCUUAUAC